rnacentral:rRNA from 1 species
GGUGGGAGGCUUUGAAGUGUGGACGCCAGUCUGCAUGGAGCCGGCCUUGAAAUACCACCCUUUAAUGUUUGAUGUUCUAACGUGGACCCGUGAUCCGGGUUGCGGACAGUGUCUGGUGGGUAGUUUGACUGGGGCGGUCUCCUCCUAAAGAGUAACGGAGGAGCACGAAGGUUGGCUAAUCCUGGUCGGACAUCAGGAGGUUAGUGCAAUGGCAUAAGCCAGCUUGACUGCGAGCGUGACGGCGCGAGCAGGUGCGAAAGCAGGUCAUAGUGAUCCGGUGGUUCUGAAUGGAAGGGCCAUCGCUCAACGGAUAAAAGGUACUCCGGGGAUAACAGGCUGAUACCGCCCAAGAGUUCAUAUCGACGGCGGUGUUUGGCACCUCGAUGUCGGCUCAUCACAUCCUGGGGCUGAAGUAGGUCCCAAGGGUAUGGCUGUUCGCCAUUUAAAGUGGUACGCGAGCUGGGUUUAGAACGUCGUGAGACAGUUCGGUCCCUAUCUGCCGUGGGCGCUGGAGAACUGAGGGGGGCUGCUCCUAGUACGAGAGGACCGGAGUGGACGCAUCACUGGUGUUCGGGUUGUCAUGCCAAUGGCACUGCCCGGUAGCUAAAUGCGGAAGAGAUAAGUGCUGAAAGCAUCUAAGCACGAAACUUGCCCCGAGAUGAGUUCUCCCUGACCCUUUAAGGGUCCUGAAGGAACGUUGAAGACGACGACGUUGAUAGGCCGGGUGUGUAAGCGCAGCGAUGCGUUGAGCUAACCGGUACUAAUGAACCGUGAG